GCCCCGUUCGUCUAGCUGGCCCAGGACACCGCCCUCUCAAGGCGGAGAUCAUCGGUUCGAAUCCGAUACGGGGUACCA
rnacentral:tRNA from 1 species